CCAGACUCCUACGGGAGGCAGCAGUGGGGAAUAUUGCACAAUGGGGGAAACCCUGAUGCAGCAACGCCGCGUGAGUGAGGAAGUAUUUCGGUAUGUAAAGCUCUAUCAGCAGGGAAUAGAAAAGAAGGUACCUGAAAAAGAAGCCCCGGCUAACUACGUGCCAGCAGCCGCGGUAAUACGUAGGGGGCAAGCGUUAUCCGGAUUUACUGGGUGUAAAGGGAGCGUAGACGGGAAAGCAAGUUAGUUGUGAAAUCCCUCGGCUUAACUGAGGAACUGCAACUAAAACUACUUUUCUUGAGUGCAGGAGAGGUAAGUGGAAUUCCUAGUGUAGCGGUGAAAUGCGUAGAUAUUAGGAGGAACACCAGUUGCGAAGGCGGCUCUCUGGACUGUAACUGACACUGAGGCACGAAAGCGUGGGGAGCAAACAGGAUUAGAUACCCCAGUA
rnacentral:rRNA from 1 species